rnacentral:rRNA from 1 species
AUUGAACGCUGGCGGCAGGCCUAACACAUGCAAGUCGAGCGAGCGGCGCACGGGGGAGUAAUGUAUGGGGACUGCCCGCUAGAGGGGGAUAACAACUGGAAACGGUAGCUAAUACCGCAUACUAUCGGAUAACCCAUAUGGGAUUAGCUAGUGGGUGGGGUAAUGGCUAACCUAGGCGACAAUCCCUAGCUGGUCUGAGAGGAUGAUCAGCCACACUGGGACUGAGACACGGCCCAGACUCCUACGGAGGCAGCAGUGGGGAAUAUUGGACAAUGGGCGAAAGCCUGAUGCAGCCAUCCCGCGUGUAUGAAGAAGGCCCUAGGGUUGUAAAGUACUUUCAGUCGGGAGGCGUUACCUGCAGAAGAAGCACCGGCUAACUCCGUGCCAGCAGCCGCGGUAAUAC